ensembl:miRNA
GUAUUAAGUUGGUGCAAAAGUAAUUGCGGUUUUUGCCAUUACUUUCAAUGGCAAAUACUGCAAUUACUUUUGCACCAAGCUAACACA